AACGCGAAGAACCUUACCUAAGCUUGACAUCCUUUUGACCGAUGCCUAAUCGCAUCUUUCCCUUCGGGGACAGAAGUGACAGGUGGUGCAUGGUUGUCGUCAGCUCGUGUCGUGAGAUGUUGGGUUAAGUCCCGCAACGAGCGCAACCCUUGCCUUUAGUUGCCAUCAUUAAGUUGGGCACUCUAGAGGGACUGCCAGGGAUAACCUGGAGGAAGGUGGGGAUGACGUCAAAUCAUCAUGCCCCUUAUGCUUAGGGCUACACACGUGCUACAAUGGGUGGUACAGAGGGCAGCCAAGUCGUGAGGCCGAGCUAAUCCCUUAAAGCCAUUCUCAGUUCGGAUUGUAGGCUGAAACUCGCCUACAUGAAGCUGGAGUUACUAGUAAUCGCAGAUCAGAAUGCUGCGGUGAAUGCGUUCCCGGGUCUUGUACACACCG
rnacentral:rRNA from 1 species